rnacentral:lncRNA from 1 species
UGAUUAUGAUGUUGUUAACCCCAGCCAUUUUGCUGUAAUUGAUCCCUAUGGGCCUUUGUCAAUUGCUUCAGCCACACUAUAGAUGCAAAGCCAAAAGGUGCAGUGACCUGGAGCCCUAGUCUGCAAGGCCAAACGGUCACCCUUACUGCUAAAGCUAUCCUGAGCACAGCCUGCAGAAUGACCCAUCUUCCACAGGCGGCCCUGAGUUACCAGACGAAGAUUAAAUUGUGGUUGGAAUACUUCGGUUAAGGAUAGCAAUGUUUCUGAUAAGAUGCUAAUUUCUCGUGUGUCCCACAUGGGAUGUUUGAUUCAGUUCUGUGAUACUACCUGGGGCCUCUUGCAUGGCUGCUUACAUCAGUUUCAAACGCUAAUGGUGAAGUUUGGCACACAUCUGUUUCACAUCUGGCUUCCCGAUGCAACGCCUGCCUUGUGCUGCCUGCUUUGAGGUCAGAACAUAAUUGUGGUGGGUACCCCCAAGUGGGUGAGAAAAGGGCACUUCUGGUGAGUUGUCUGUUCCAUAUGCGGUAAUUUACAUAACUAUUGAUCUCUAGUAAUAAUGCUGAUUUUGCCCCUGAGUCCCCUUUAUAAAUCUUCAUUGGGUGGUCCCAGCGAAGACUCAAGGCUGGAAGAAGUAAAGUCACUUGCUCUGUGAGUGGCAGAACCCUGAGUCCUCAUCUUGUGUCCUCCUGCCUCUAUGGGUGGCAUUUGUCAAGUCCUCUCCACAUCAAGGGGGGGGGGGUCACCUCCCUGAGACCCCCACACUCCACCCA